rnacentral:siRNA from 1 species
CUUGGCAUGUGAUACCUUUUCGGA